GCCUCCUUAGCUCAGUUGGUAGAGCAUCAGUCUCAUAUGUGUGCGCUGAGUGUCAUCAGUUCGAUCCUGAUAGGGGGCA